AGCGAACGCUGGCGGCAGGCUUAACACAUGCAAGUCGAACGGGCACCUUCGGGUGUCAGUGGCAGACGGGUGAGUAACACGUGGGAACGUGCCCUUCGGUUCGGAAUAACUCAGGGAAACUUGAGCUAAUACCGGAUACGUCCGAGAGGAGAAAGAUUUAUCGCCGAGGGAUCGGCCCGCGUCUGAUUAGCUAGUUGGUGGGGUAAUGGCCCACCAAGGCGACGAUCAGUAGCUGGUCUGAGAGGAUGAUCAGCCACACUGGGACUGAGACACGGCCCAGACUCCUACGGGAGGCAGCAGUGGGGAAUAUUGGACAAUGGGCGAAAGCCUGAUCCAGCCAUGCCGCGUGAGUGAUGAAGGCCUUAGGGUUGUAAAGCUCUUUCGGCGGGGACGAUAAUGACGGUACCCGCAGAAGAAGCCCCGGCUAACUUCGUGCCAGCCGCCGCCGUAACAC
rnacentral:rRNA from 1 species